UUUAACUUUGCUGCUAACAGAAAGAGAAUCACUUGCAAGAAGAAACCGCGCACCCAGCAAUGUGACUAAUUAAGUAGCCAUAGCUGUGAUUCUACAACCACACCAUAAACUAACUUCCACACACAUCAUACUCAUUUCAGGAUUUAAAAUUUCAGG